rnacentral:rRNA from 1 species
UGGGGAAUUUUGGACAAUGGGCGCAAGCCUGAUCCAGCAAUGCCGCGUGCAGGAAGAAGGCCUUCGGGUUGUAAACUGCUUUUGUACGGAACGAAAAAGUCCGGGUUAAUACCCUGGGCCCAUGACGGUACCGUAAGAAUAAGCACCGGCUAACUACGUGCCAGCAGCCGCGGUAAUACGUAGGGUGCAAGCGUUAAUCGGAAUUACUGGGCGUAAAGCGUGCGCAGGCGGUUGUGUAAGACAGGCGUGAAAUCCCCGGGCUCAACCUGGGAAUGACGCUUGUGACUGCACAGCUCGAGUGCGGCAGAGGGGGAUGGAAUUCCGCGUGUAGCAGUGAAAUGCGUAGAUAUGCGGAGGAACACCAAUGGCGAAGGCAAUCCCCUGGGCCUGCACUGACGCU